UACGGAGGGUGCGAGCGUUGUCCGGAAUCAUUGGGCGUAAAGGGCGCGUAGGUGGCCCGGUCAGUCGAUGGUGAAAGCGCGGGGCUCAACUCCGCGUCGGCCGUCGAUACUGCGGGGCUGGAGCACUGUAGAGGCAGGCGGAAUUCCGGGUGUAGCGGUGGAAUGCGUAGAGAUCCGGAAGAACACCGGUGGCGAAGGCGGCCUGCUGGGCAGUGGCUGACACUGAGGCGCGACAGCGUGGGGAGCAAACAGG
rnacentral:rRNA from 1 species